AUUGAACGCUGGCGGCAGGCCUAACACAUGCAAGUCGAGCGGAUGAGGGAAGCUUGCUUUUCGAUUCAGCGGCGGACGGGUGAGUAAUGCCUAGGAAUCUGCCUGUUAGUGGGGGAUAACUCGGGGAAACUCGGGCUAAUACCGCAUACGUCCUACGGGAGAAAGUGGGGGAUCUUCGGACCUCACGCUAACAGAUGAGCCUAGGUCGGAUUAGCUAGUUGGUAGGGUAAAGGCCUACCAAGGCGACGAUCCGUAACUGGUCUGAGAGGAUGAUCAGUCAAACUGGAACGGAGACACGGUCCAGCCUCCUACGGGAGGCAGCAGUGGGGAAUAUUGGACAAUGGGCGAAAGCCCGAUCCAGCGACGCCGCGUGUGUGAAGAAGGCCUGCGGGUUGUAAAGCACUUUUAGUGGGGAUGAAAAGCUCAGGGAUAACACCUCUGGGUCUUGACCUAACCCACAGAAAAAGCACCGGCUAACUCUGUGCCAGCAGCCGCCGUAAGAC
rnacentral:rRNA from 1 species